rnacentral:lncRNA from 1 species
CACAGAUGGGACACAGCCUAGGAGGAAUCCCAGGCUGCGGGCAUUCCUUGGCCCAGUGGCCAGAUUUCUGGCACUUGAAGCAAGAUCUUGAUGGAGAAGAUCCUGAAGGAACACCUGACUGCUCUAGCUUAGGCAUUUUGAAGUUCUUGUGUGCUGGAGAUGUGGCUGGGGUUUCUCUCACAGCAGAGGAAACCUAUGGCCUGCAUCAAUGAAAUAGCCAAGAUCAACCAGAAAAAGAAUAUUGGUCUCCCAUCUGCAAGACUGGGGAAAAAAUUAGAAGACUGAGGGGAUGAGGAAGGAAAGAAAACAGCCUAAUGGAGAAGAUCCUCAAACCUCAGACCUGGAAGUGAGCCUGGGGCUUCCCUAGUCUACCCCUGCAUUGCACAGAUGGGGAGACUGAGGCCCUAAGAGGCGGAAGAACUGACUCAAGCUCACUCUGUGAGUUGAGGGUGGAACUGGAACUGAACUCAGACCCACACCUCCUGGCAAAGUGCUCAAUGCCCUCUGCCCGCGCAGCCCUCCUGCUCUCCUAACAAGCUAGAGACACUAAAAGCUGCCUCUCCAGGAGAAUCGCUUGAAUCCGGGAGGCAGAGGUUGCAGUGAGCCAAGAUCGUGCCACUGCACUUCAGCCUGGCGACAGAGCAAGACUCCGUUUCAAAAUACAUACAUACAUACAUGCAUACAUACAUACAUACAUACAUACAUACAUACAUACAUACAAAAGCUGCCUCUCUAACCCCCAGACAUUUUGAAUUCAUGUUUUUGCCACAAAGUGUUCUUGGAAUCAAAGAAUCAAUUCAUUAAUCUGGGUAAUUAGUUUAGGAACCAGAGGGCUUGGAGACUGUGCUGUGAGAACAAUUCCAAGCUCAGUCUCUACACUGAAAAACCUAACUACCUCUGACCUGUGUCCACAGGUGACACCUCAGCCUCAGCCAGGAAAAAGCUGGAGGCUCUGCACACGCCUCCCCCAUCCCGCCCUCCCCAGUUCUUACCCCCAGAGGGACAUAUGGCUCAGGACAGGUAUCCUGUGGGCAGUGGGGCAGGGACACCCUCCUCCUGUUCCUCUCCUGUAUUUUACAAAUGGCAACAUGGAGCACAGAGAAAUAAUCUGUUCAUGGCCAUCCCACAAGCUAAUGACUAAAAAUUCUAGUCCUCUGUAUUAGUUUGUUAUCACGCUGCUGAUAAAGACAUACCCGAGACUGGGCAAUUUACAGAAGAGGUUUAAUCGACUUUCAGUUCCACCUGGCUGGGGAGGCCUCACAAUCGUGGCAGAAGGUAAAAGGCAGUCUCACAUGGCAGCAGACAAGAGAAGAGAGCUUGUGCAGGGAAACUCCCCUUUAUAAAACCAUCAGAUCUCAUGAGACUUACUCACUAUGAUGAGAAUAGCAUGGGAAAGCCCCGCCCCCAUGAUUCAAUUACCUCCCACCGGGUCCCUCCCAUAGCACGUGGGAAUUCAAGAUGAGUUUUGGGUGGGGACACAGCCA